rnacentral:rRNA from 1 species
GAUGAACGCUGGCGGCGUGCCUAAUACAUGCAAGUCGAGCGAACAGACGAGGAGCUUGCUCCUCUGACGUUAGCGGCGGACGGGUGAGUAACACGUGGAUAACCUACCUAUAAGACUGGGAUAACUUCGGGAAACCGGAGCUAAUACCGGAUAAUAUAUUGAACCGCAUGGUUCAAUAGUGAAAGACGGUUUUGCUGUCACUUAUAGAUGGAUCCGCGCCGCAUUAGCUAGUUGGUAAGGUAACGGCUUACCAAGGCAACGAUGCGUAGCCGACCUGAGAGGGUGAUCGGCCACACUGGAACUGAGACGCGGUCCAGACUCCUACGGGAGGCAGCAGUAGGGAAUCUUCCGCAGUGGGCGAAAGCCUUACGGAGCAACGCCGCGUGAGUGAUGAAGGUCUUCGGAUCGUAAUACUCUGUUAUUAGUGAAGAACAAAUGUGUAAGUAACUAUGCACGUCUUGACGGUACCUAAUCAGAAAGCCACGGCUAACUACGUG